CAGAGGGGGCAAGCGUUGUUCGGAAUUACUGGGCGUAAAGGGCGCGUAGGCGGCCUGCUAAGUCGAACGUGAAAUCCCUGGGCUCAACCCAGGAACUGCGUCCGAUACUGGUUGGCUUAAAUCCGGGAGAGGGAUGUGGAAUUCCAGGUGUAGCGGUGAAAUGCGUAGAUAUCUGGAGGAACACCGGUGGCGAAGGCGGCAUCCUGGACCGGUAUUGACGCUGAGGCGCGAAAGCCAGGGGAGCAAACGGGAUUAGAUACCCCGGUAGUCCUGGCCCUAAACGAUGAAUGCUUGGUGUGGCGGGUAUCGAUCCCUGCCGUGCCGAAGCUAACGCAUUAAGCAUUCCGCCUGGGGAGUACGGUCGCAAGGCUG
rnacentral:rRNA from 1 species